rnacentral:rRNA from 1 species
CCUACGGGGGGCAGCAGUGGGGAAUAUUGGACAAUGGGGGGAACCCUGAUCCAGCCAUGCCGCGUGUGUGAAGAAGGCCCUCGGGUUGUAAAGCACUUUCAGUGAGGAAGAACGCCUGGUGGUUAAUACCCAUCAGGAAAGACAUCACUCACAGAAGAAGCACCGGCUAACUCCGUGCCAGCAGCGGCGGUAAUACGGAGGGUGCGAGCGUUAAUCGGAAUUACUGGGCGUAAAGCGCGCGUAGGUGGCUUGAUAAGCCGGUUGUGAAAGCCCCGGGCUCAACCUGGGAACGGCAUCCGGAACUGUCAAGCUAGAGUGCAGGAGAGGAAGGUAGAAUUCCCGGUGUAGCGGUGAAAUGCGUAGAGAUCGGGAGGAAUACCAGUGGCGAAGGCGGCCUUCUGGACUGACACUGACACUGAGGUGCGAAAGCGUGGGUAGCAAACAGGAUUAGAUACCCUUGUAGUC